CAUUAUGGCUAUAUCAUGUAAAUAGAUAUAGGGUAAAUCAUUAUGUUGUUAUAGGCUUACCAUUUCCAUGUUUUAUGGAUGACUUUAGGAAUCCUUGUUUUAUGGAGGACUUUAGGGGUCCUUGUUUUAUGGAGGACUUUAGGCUACAUGUUCCCUAUCUUCCACUAUAUGUAGUCCAUUUCUCAUCCAUGUUAUGUGGAGAAAAACAGAACAUACUACACUCCUUCUCUGCAUCUAAACUCUCUCUCUCUCUCUCAAGUUCGAUCUUUGAAGCAAAGCUCUCUCCAUUUUCUGAAACACUUUUAUGUUAGUUUUACAACACGUUAUCAGCACGACUAGCUCUAGGAUUCGGAUUGCCGAUCGACAAGAGAAGAGGUGAAUAACUCUUGGGUUGCAGAAAAGAAGAGGUUCAUCAUUCAAUCAACAUCAAUCUACCAGCUCUACAACCAAACCAGCUUGAGCCCAGCAGGCCCACUCUCCCUCUGCGGGACCUAGCAGCCCAGCAGGCCUCACACACCAUUUAAAUUACGCAUGAAAGGCCGGGUCACAAGCCCGCAGACUAAGCCCGAUAGGCUUCACUAUCAAGCCCAUUCCUUUGGUCCAGCAGAAUCAAAUAAAAGGAAAAAUGAUUUGAUUCUACUGAGAUUUGAACCCAGACAAUGUACAUGUCAUUAUGGCUAUUGCAAAUAAAUUCACCAUAUUUCAUAUGUGUAAUUAAUUGCCAGAAGCAUUUAUUCACAUAAUUGUGUGACAAUUAAUAUGUUAUAUUACUAGCAUGCAAUUAAUAUCUCAAUUGAUUUGUGAUUUCCAUUUA